rnacentral:rRNA from 1 species
UGCAGUCGAACGCGUUGGCCCAAUUGAUUGAUGGUGCUUGCACCUGAUUGAUUUUGGUCGCCAACGAGUGGCGGACGGGUGAGUAACACGUAGGUAACCUGCCCAGAAGCGGGGGACAACAUUUGGAAACAGAUGCUAAUACCGCAUAACAGCGUUGUUCGCAUGAACAACGCUUAAAAGAUGGCUUCUCGCUAUCACUUCUGGAUGGACCUGCGGUGCAUUAGCUUGUUGGUGGGGUAACGGCCUACCAAGGCGAUGAUGCAUAGCCGAGUUGAGAGACUGAUCGGCCACAAUGGGACUGAGACACGGCCCAUACUCCUACGGGAGGCAGCAGUAGGGAAUCUUCCACAAUGGGCGCAAGCCUGAUGGAGCAACACCGCGUGAGUGAAGAAGGGUUUCGGCUCGUAAAGCUCUGUUGUUAAAGAAGAACACGUAUGAGAGUAACUGUUCAUACGUUGACGGUAUUUAACCAGAAAGUCACGGCUAACUACGUGCCAGCAGCCGCGGUAAUACGUAGGUGGCAAGCGUUAUCCGGAUUUAUUGGGCGUAAAGAGAGUGCAGGCGGUUUUCUAAGUCUGAUGUGAAAGCCUUCGGCUUAACCGGAGAAGUGCAUCGGAAACUGGAUAACUUGAGUGCAGAAGAGGGUAGUGGAACUCCAUGUGUAGCGGUGGAAUGCGUAGAUAUAUGGAAGAACACCAGUGGCGAAGGCGGCUACCUGGUCUGCAACUGACGCUGAGACUCGAAAGCAUGGGUAGCGAACAGGAUUAGAUACCCUGGUAGUCCAUGCCGUAAACGAUGAGUGCUAGGUGUUGGAGGGUUUCCGCCCUUCAGUGCCGGAGCUAACGCAUUAAGCACUCCGCCUGGGGAGUACGACCGCAAGGUUGAAACUCAAAGGAAUUGACGGGGGCCCGCACAAGCGGUGGAGCAUGUGGUUUAAUUCGAAGCUACGCGAAGAACCUUACCAGGUCUUGACAUCUUGCGCCAACCCUAGAGAUAGGGCGUUUCCUUCGGGAACGCAAUGACAGGUGGUGCAUGGUCGUCGUCAGCUCGUGUCGUGAGAUGUUGGGUUAAGUCCCGCAACGAGCGCAACCCUUGUUACUAGUUGCCAGCAUUAAGUUGGGCACUCUAGUGAGACUGCCGGUGACAAACCGGAGGAAGGUGGGGACGACGUCAGAUCAUCAUGCCCCUUAUGACCUGGGCUACACACGUGCUACAAUGGACGGUACAACGAGUCGCGAACUCGCGAGGGCAAGCAAAUCUCUUAAAACCGUUCUCAGUUCGGACUGCAGGCUGCAACUCGCCUGCACGAAGUCGGAAUCGCUAGUAAUCGCGGAUCAGCAUGCCGCGGUGAAUACGUUCCCGGGCCUUGUACACACCGCCCGUCACACCAUGAGAGUUUGUAACACCCAAAGUCGGUGGGGUAACCUUU